AUUGAACGCUGGCGGCAAGCUUAACACAUGCAAGUCGAGCGGCAGCGGGAAAUAAAGAAUGAGUUAUUUUUGCCGGCGAGCGGCGAACGGGUGAGUAAUAUUUGGGAAUCUGCCUAAUGGAGGGGGAUAACUGUUGGAAACGAUAGCUAAUACCACAUAACGUCCAUUUGAAUAUGUAGAAUGGACCAAAGCGGGGGACUUUAUAUAAAAGCCUCGCGCCAUUAGAUGAGCUCAAAUGAGAUUAGCUAGUAGGUAAGGUAAAGGCUUACCUAGGCUACGAUCUCUAGCUGGUCUGAGAGGAUGAUCAGCCACACUGAAACUGAGAUACGGUUCAGACUCUUACGGGAGGCAGCAGUGGGGAAUAUUGCACAAUGGGGGAAACCCUGAUGCAGCUAUGCCGCGUGUGCGAAGAAGGCUUUCGAGUUGUAAAGCACUUUCGAUGAAGAGGAAAGCGAUGUUUGUUAAUACCAGCAUUGUGUGACAGUAUUCAUAGAAGAAGCACCGGCUAACUCCGUGCCAGCAGCCGCGGUAAUACGGAGGGUGCGAGCGUUAAUCGGAAUUACUGGGCGUAAAGAGUACGUAGGCGGUUUAUUAAGUCGAAUGUGAAAUCCCUGAGCUUAACUUAGGAAUGGCGUUCGAAACUGAUAAACUAGAGUUUCAUAGAGGGGAGUAGAAUUCCAGGUGUAGCGGUGAAAUGCGUAGAGAUCUGGAGGAAUACCAGUGGUGAAGACGACUCCCUGGAUGAAAACUGACGCUCAGGUACGAAAGCGUGGGUAGCAAACAGGAUUAGAUACCCUGGUAGUCCACGCUGUAAACGAUGUCGAUUUGGAGGUUGUAAUCUUGAAUUGUGGCUUCCGUAGCUAACGUGUUAAAUCGACCGCCUGGGGAGUACGAUCGCAAGGUUAAAACUCAAAUGAAUUGACGGGGGCCCGCACAAGCGGUGGAGCAUGUGGUUUAAUUCGAUGCAACACGAAAAACCUUACCUACUUUUGACAUCCAGAGAACAUAAUAGAAAUAUUUUGGUGCCUUCGGGAACUCUGAGACAGGUGCUGCAUGGCUGUCGUCAGCUCGUGUUGUGAAAUGUUGGGUUAAGUCCCGCAACGAGCGCAACCCUUAUCCUUUGUUGCCAUCGAUUUGGUCGGGAACUCAAAGGAAACUGCCAGUGAUAAACUGGAGGAAGGUGGGGAUGAGGUCAAGUCAUCAUGGCCCUUACGAGUAGGGCUACACACGUGCUACAAUGGUAAAUACAAAGAGAAGCGAUCUUGUAAAAGUUAGCAAAUCUCAUAAAAUUUGUCGAAGUUCGGAUUUGAGUCUGCAACUCGACUCCAUGAAGUAGGAAUCGCUAGUAAUCGUGGAUCAGAAUGCCACGGUGAAUACGUUCUCGGGCCUUGUACACACCGCCCGUCACACCAUGGGAGU
rnacentral:rRNA from 1 species